UUUUUAAUUAUUUUUUGCGCCUCGUGACAAACAUAUCGCACGUGCGCGAUAUAUAUUAACCCCGUUAUAUUAUUUUUGACGUUUGCGAUAUGUUUUAGCUCUUUGCUCAUUGGUCACGCGUCUAGAGGCGGCUUUGUGACGCGAGGAGCGCGUUCUGAAAGGGGUGAAAAAAUACGUGUUGUUGCGGUAUAGAGGGAGGGGUGGAAACCGUGGUAAACUCGUCUCCGUGUUUGAGGGGGGGGGGUAAGUAGUAUAUAUAGGGCAUUAUCCAUUAUUAGGCAACGGUUGUAAUGGUAGUAAGAAUGACAAUCAUCUUUGCAGUGGACCUGGGAGUGGCAAGCAUAAGGGACGAAGGCGGGGGUAACAUGUC
rnacentral:misc_RNA from 1 species